UCCUGGGACGGGGGCAGAAGUGCGGGAGGGCUGGAGUAGCGACGACGCCUCCUCCCCUAAACAGCGAGCCCCAAUUCUCAGAUUUAAUUCUUCCCAAAGGGACACACUCCUUCCCUUACGACCUUUCGGUGACCACAGUGGCUGGCACCCUGGGAGGCAAAGAAGCCUGGCCCGGGGACAAGGUCUGAGCCCCAUCAGUGUCUGUGCCACCUCCAGGAGCGCCCCGGCUUCACUUCAGUUCCAGCCUGGCAGAGACCCCUCAGGAAGCCUCAGAACACGUCUCAAAACCAAAAAGAAGAAAGAAAAGAAUAUAUCGAAAACUGUGAAGCACAAUGCAAAAACUGGUUAGCCAUUCUAGCCCCAUGUCUCCUGGAAACAUGGCACGGCCCCUGAGAGGGGCUCGACGAUGAAUUUAAGGUCUCCAGAAGGAUGGCUAGAGAAUCACACAUACGCCUUGCAGGGUAGCUCUAAUCUUGCAGCUCCCACGAACACCAUAGCAUGGAGCGGCCAGUCCAUUUUCAAGGUCACCUUCAGCAUUAUGAGUCUGAGAGCAGGUUCUGCUCCGACCGACAGCAGACGCGUGAGGUCACUGCUAUGUGAAGAGUGGUUCUGGAACGCCUCACAGUAUGAGGCACUCUGCAGGAUCUCAAACGCUAUUAACUUCACUGGAGUUUUGGUAUAUAUAUAUAUUUUUUCUCAAACUAAGAAAUUGUGACAAAACUCACAUGGGGACUUGUGCCCAUUGUUUUCAGUAGAAGAAAAGAAAGGUAAUGGGAGUGAUACCUUCGGCACUGACCACCAUCCAGGCUGAGCUGCA